CCUACGGGUGGCUGCAGUGGGGAAUAUUGGACAAUGGGCGAAAGCCUGAUCCAGCCAUGCCGCGUGUGUGAAGAAGGCCUUCGGGUUGUAAAGCACUUUCAGUGGGGAAGAAAGCCUUGGGGCUAAUACCCUCGAGGAAGGACAUCACCCACAGAAGAAGCACCGGCUAACUCCGUGCCAGCAGCCGCGGUAAUACGGAGGGUGCGAGCGUUAAUCGGAAUUACUGGGCGUAAAGCGCGCGUAGGCGGUCUGAUAAGCCGGUUGUGAAAGCCCCGGGCUCAACCUGGGAACGGCAUCCGGAACUGGCAGGCAAGAGUGAAGGAGAGGAAGGUAGAAUUCCCGGUGUAGCGGUGAAAUGCGUAGAGAUCGGGAGGAAUACCAGUGGCGAAGGCGGCCUUCUGGACUGACACUGCCGCUGAGGUGCGAAAGCGUGGGUAGCAAACAGGAUUAGAUACCCCAGUAGUC
rnacentral:rRNA from 1 species